rnacentral:rRNA from 1 species
AACGAACGCUGGCGGCAUGCCUAACACAUGCAAGUCGAACGAGACCUUCGGGUCUAGUGGCGCACGGGUGCGUAACGCGUGGGAACCUGCCCUUAGGUUCGGAAUAACUCCCCGAAAGGGGUGCUAAUACCGGAUAAUGUCUUCGGACCAAAGAUUUAUCGCCUUUGGAUGGGCCCGCGUUGGAUUAGCUAGUUGGUAGGGUAAAAGCCUACCAAGGCGACGAUCCAUAGCUGGUCUGAGAGGAUGAUCAGCCACACUGGGACUGAGACACGGCCCAGACUCCUACGGGGGGCAGCGGGGGGGAAUAUUGGACAGGGGGCGAAAGCCUGAUCCAGCAAGCCCGGGUGGGGGAUGAAGGCCUUGGGGUUGUAAAGCUCUUUUACCCGGGAUGAUAAUGACAGUCCCGGGAGAAAAAGCCCCGGCAAACUCCG